rnacentral:tRNA from 1 species
GGGCAAGUGGCGGAAUGGUAUACGCGUUGGUCUCAAAAACCAAUGAGACUUAGUCUCGUGAGGGUUCAAGUCCCUCCUUGCCCACCA